rnacentral:lncRNA from 1 species
GUGUUUUGGUCCGGGACAUGUUGCACUUCUACGCUGAGCAGGGCGACGUGCAGAUGGCUGUGUCUGUUCUCAUCGUGCUGGGUGAGAGAGUACGAAAGGACAUCGACGAGCAGACUCAGGAGCACUGGUACACAUCCUACAUCGAUCUGCUGCAGCGCUUCUGCCUUUGGAAUGUGUCCAAUGAGGUGGUGAAGCUGAGCACCAGCAGGGCCGUGAGCUGCCUCAACCAAGCCUCCACCACCCUGCAUGUCAACUGUAGUCACUGCAAACGGCCCAUGAGCAGCCGAGGCUGGGUCUGCGACAGGUGCCGCCGCUGUGCCAGCAUGUGUGCCGUCUGCCAUCAUGUGGUUAAAGGUCUGUUCGUAUGGUGUCAAGGUUGCAGUCAUGGUGGCCAUCUUCAGCACAUCAUGAAAUGGCUGGAAGGCAGCUCCCACUGCCCUGCAGGCUGCGGCCAUCUCUGUGAAUACUCCUGACCUGGCCUUCCCAAAAGCUAAUGCAGCUUCCUCAGCUUAAUCCCGAUGUCCACCGGACUAGGCUGACCGCUCACCAUCCGGUUUACCAGGAUGGAAGGUGGCUGCAACCUGUUAACCCAAUAAAAAUCAAGAACUGCUGUUUGG